rnacentral:rRNA from 1 species
GGAAUAUUGCGCAAUGGGGGAAACCCUGACGCAGCAACGCCGCGUGAAGGAAGAAGGCCUUCGGGUUGUAAACUUUUGUCUUUUGGGAAGAAGAAUGACGGUACCAAAGGAGGAAGCCACGGCUAACUACGUGCCAGCAGCCGCGGUAAUACGUAGGUGGCGAGCGUUGUCCGGAAUUACUGGGUGUAAAGGGCGUGUAGGCGGGUAGAUAAGUCAGAUGUGAAAUACCGGGGCUCAACCCCGGGGCUGCAUUUGAAACUGUCAAUCUUGAGUGCCGGAGAGGAAAGCGGAAUUCCUAGUGUAGCGGUGAAAUGCGUAGAUAUUAGGAGGAACACCAGUGGCGAAGGCGGCUUUCUGGACGGUAACUGACGCUGAGGCGCGAAAGCGUGGGGAGCAAAC